rnacentral:rRNA from 1 species
UAGGAACAGGGCGAAGCAGGAUCAGCCUGGCCGCGUGAUGAUGAAAGCCUUCGGGUUGUAAACCGCUUUCCCGGAGACGAUAAUGACGGUACCCGGAGAAGAAGCCCCGGCUAACUUCGUGCCAGCAACCGCGGUAAAACUACGUGCCAGCAGCCG